rnacentral:rRNA from 1 species
GACGAACGCUGGCGGCGUGCCUAAUACAUGCAAGUCGAGCGCAGGAAAUCGACGGAACCCUUCGGGGGGAAGUCGACGGAAUGAGCGGCGGACGGGUGAGUAACACGUAAAGAACCUGCCCUCAGGUCUGGGAUAACCACGAGAAAUCGGGGCUAAUACCGGAUGGGUCAUCGGACCGCAUGGUCCGAGGAUGAAAGGCGCUUCGGCGUCGCCUGGGGACGGCUUUGCGGUGCAUUAGCUAGUUGGUGGGGUAAUGGCCCACCAAGGCGCCGAUGCAUAGCCGACCUGAGAGGGUGAUCGGCCACACUGGGACUGAGACGCGGCCCAGACUCCUACGGGAGGCAGCAGUAGGGAAUCUUCCACAAUGGACGAAAGUCUGAUGGAGCAACGCCGCGUGAACGAUGAAGGCCUUCGGGUCGUAAAGUUCUGUUGUAAGGGAAGAACAAGUGCCGCAGGCAAUGGCGGCACCUUGACGGUACCUUGCGAGAAAGCCACGGCUAACUACGUGCCAGCAGCCGCAGUAA